ACUCCUACGGGAGUCAGCAGUGGGGAAUAUUGCACAAUGGGCGCAAGCCUGAUGCAGCCAUGCCGCGUGUGUGAAGAAGGCCUUCGGGUUGUAAAGCACUUUCUAGUCGUGAGGAAGGGCGGGUACGUUAAUAGCGUAUUCGUUUGACGUUAGCGACAGAAGAAGCACCGGCUAACUCCGUGCCAGCAGCCGCGGUAAUACGGAGGGUGCGAGCGUUAAUCGGAAUUACUGGGCGUAAAGCGCAUGCAGGUGGUUUGUUAAGUCAGAUGUGAAAGCCCGGGGCUCAACCUCGGAAUAGCAUUUGAAACUGGCAGACUAGAGUACUGUAGAGGGGGUAGAAUUUCAGGUGUAGCGUGAAAUGCGUAGAGAUCUGAAAGGUAAUACCGGUUGGCGAAGGCGGCCCCCUGGACAGAUACUGACACUCAGAUGCGAAAGCGUGGGAGCAAACAGGAUUAGAUACCCCGUAGGUAGGACAGUG
rnacentral:rRNA from 1 species